GUCCGUAUCGAUUAGGGGUUAAAUCACUUCGUUGUGGCAUGCACUGAGCGUACAACUCCGAAGAGCCGCUGGUUCGAUUCCAGCUACGGACA